UGCCAGCACGUUAAGCGGAACAGCCUUUAUCUCGGUAGUAGUCGCCCGCAAUUUCGUGAGCUUGUCAGAAGUCAGAACCACAAAAUGAAGUUUCCUCAACAAACUCUCAGUUGAACAUUCACUUCUCAUGUCAAAAACAUCAACACAUUUUUUCCUUAAUAGCAGAGAAUAUCUCUUCUGGUUUCAGUUUUGUAAAUUUUGUCAUUUAUCAUUAUAAAAGGCGAUAAGAUUAUCGAUCUACAUGAUUAAAACGUCCAUCAGAUACCGACUGCUUAAGCCCAGUUAAUGCGUGUUUUGCAUCGAAAGUGUUUUGCAUGAAAGUGACUGGCAAAUGAUGUUUUCAUUUAUUCCGAAUGAGUGCCCGAAUCUAUAAUCUGUGAAGUGCGAAAGCAGUAGCAGCGGCUUUGUUGAAUUCAGAUGCGUAGAAUGUGCGAUGAUCAUCAUGCAGCUGUCUGUUAAAUGCGAGCGUUUUACUGAAAAUUAAUUGUAAGCAUUUUUUUCCUAUUUUUUAACUACUUCACAGAUUUUAUAUGAUAAAUAAAUGGUUUCAUUGCA